rnacentral:rRNA from 1 species
GACGAACGCUGGCGGCGUGCUUAACACAUGCAAGUCGAGCGAGGCCCUUCCUUCGGGGAGGUGCCCUAGCGGCGAACGGGUGAGUAACACGUGGGCAACCUGCCCCUAGCACUGGGAUAACUCCGGGAAACCGGGGCUAAUACCGGAUAUGACCUUUGAGGGCAUCCUCACUGGUGUAAAGGAUUCUGGCUAGGGAUGGGCCCGCGGCCUAUCAGCUUGUUGGUGGGGUAAUGGCCUACCAAGGCGACGACGGGUAGCCGGCCUGAGAGGGCGACCGGCCACACUGGGACUGAGACACGGCCCAGACUCCUACGGGAGGCAGCAGUGGGGAAUAUUGCACAAUGGGCGAAAGCCUGACGCAGCGACGCCGCGUGAGGGAUGACGGCCU